rnacentral:rRNA from 1 species
UACGAAGGGUGCGAGCGUUGUUCGGAAUUAUUGGGCGUAAAGGGUUCGUAGGCGGAGAGGUAAGUCAAGUGUGAAAUCCCCGAGCUUAACUUGGGACGUGCAUUUGAAACUAUUUUUCUUGAGUAUCAGAGAGGGUGGUGGAAUUGCUGGUGUAGGAGUGACAUCCGUAGAGAUCAGCAGGAACACCGGAUGCGAAGGCGACCACCUGGCUGAAGACUGACGCUGAGGAACGAAAGCGUGGGGAGCAAACAGG